GACGAACGCUGGCGGCGUGCCUAAUACAUGCAAGUAGAACGCAGUUGCGAACGGGUGAGUAACGCGUCGGUAACUGCCUGGUAGCGGGGGAUAACUAUUGGAAACGAUAGCUAAUACCGCAUAAUAACAGAUGGACCUGCGUUGUAUUAGCUCGUUGUGUAGGUAACGGCGCACCAAGGCAACGAGACAUAGCCGACCUGAGAGUGUGAUCCGCCACACUGGGACUGAGACACGUCCCAGACUCCUCCGGGAGGCAGCAGUAGGGAAUUUUCGGCAAUGGUGGGAACCCUGACCGAGCAACGCCGCGUGAGUGAAGAAGGUUUUCGGAUCGUAAAGCUCUGUUGUUAAGGAAGCGGUACUUAACCAGAAAGGGACGGCUAACUACGUGCCAGCAGCCGCGGUAAUAC
rnacentral:rRNA from 1 species